rnacentral:lncRNA from 1 species
AGAAAGAAACUGAGCUGGGCCUUUGGGCAUAUUCUGGCAAAGUAAACCUGGCAUGAUUUCAGUGGGGUAAGGAGAAAAAUAGAAGGCACACCAAUGGCAUAAAAUUUAAUUGGAAAAGGCAUCCUAGGAAUGAUGCAGCAGGCAAAAGGAUGACGAUAAGUUCAGGGUGUUCUAUUGGUAAUGCUUACAAGUUUACAUAGUUGACUGUAUGUGGCAUUUGUUGCAUAUUUUUUUGGCCAGGCCCAUAGAUGUGGAAGUCCCCAAGCUAGGGAAUUAACCCAUGUGACAUCAGUAACCACAGCCAAAGCAGUGACAAUGCCAGAUCCUUAAGCCACUAAGCCAACAGGGAACUCUCUGUUGUGUUUUAAAUAUACAGUAUAUAUCAGAGCUCCCGUUGUGGCUCAGCAGAGUUAAGGACCCAUCUGUGAGGAUGCCAAUUUAAUCCCUGGCCUCUCUUCGGGUUAAAUAUCUAGUGUUUCUGUAAGCUGCAGUGUAGAUAAAAGAUUUGGGGCUCCAUUCUGCUGUUGCCAUGGCUGUGGUAUAGGCCUCAGCUGAAGCUCCAAUUCAGCCCCUGGCCCAGGAACUUUCAUAAGCUGCAGAUGCAGCCAUAAAAAUGAAAAAUACAGUAAGAUAAAUAAAUAUGCAAUAUAAACUUGUUCUCAGGAGAUUUCUUGGGAGUUCCCCUAGUGCCUCAGUGGUAAAGAAACUAGUAUUCAUGAGGGUGCAGGUUCAAUCCCUGGCCUUGCUCAUUGGGUUAAGGAUCCGGCGUUGCUGUGAGCUGUGGUGUAGGUUGCAGGCCUGGCUUGGUUCCUGGGUUGCUGUGGCUGUGGUGUAGGCUGGCAGCUUGCAGCUCCGAUUUGACCCCUAGCCUGGGAACCUCCAUAUGCCAUGUGUACGGCCCUAAAAAACAAAAUAAAUAAAUAAUAAAUAAAUAUGCAAAAGCUUGAUAGAAGUGACAGAAAGUACAUAAAAAUUUAUUUUUGUUUAAUAGGUUUAUGUCUAAUUAGUUGACCAAUGGGGGGGGGGGACACUAAUAGUGCCAGAUAACUGGAAUCAGUGUUAUUUAACAGCAUGGGGUUCCAUCAACAAUGGAACAAACUUCUAGGCUUUAUUUCAUCCAAGUCCAAGAAGCUCCCUGCGGUGGUGGUGGCAGCACUGCAUCCUUUAAAGUUGCUAAUCAUGUUCCUCAUGGGUCCUGGCCACCUUUUCCAACAGUCUCUGGUCAUGGGCCAUUUGUGCCUGUUUUGUUAUAAUAUAUCUCUCCCAUAAUCCCUAAAGCUCAUGCAGAUGAUGUUUAGAGAUCCCAUCGGAAAAGAACACAGACACUGCUCCUUGUUUAAUCCCUACUUAAAUAAAAUGGUAUCUUAUAAUGACAUUACAUAGUCUACAAGACCUUUGUCAAAUGCUUUUCAUUUUAAUGUAUUUUUGUUGUUGUCUUCUCUGAGAAGGUUUGAACUCUUGCAUGUGUUAACUGAUGCAGGGGUGAAUGGAAAUAAGUAUUGAUCAAACUAGUACUUUUACACUUUUUUUUUUCCUUUCUCUCAUAGGGUUUCUUGAGUUUUCUUUUUUUUUGUUUUUUAAUAGCAUUGCUUUCAUUUUUGUUCACAGCACAGUGACAACGGGGUGUAUGAAUAUCCUUACUCUUAUUACAGAUUCAAUCAUUGGCCCUUUACCUUUACAUAUUUCAAACAAGAAUAUUACCCCCUCUAGUUAAAAGUCUCAAUUGAGUUGGCAUAUGAAAAGCAUGCACACAUGAACACACACACACAUUUUAGGGUACUGCAAAUCAAAUGACAUUCCAUUUUCUGGGUAGCUCUAUGCAUUGACCUCAGAAAGGUUAUGUCUUAAAGUCUACAUUGUUGUUUGAAGACCUUUGACAGGAGAUUCUUGGGUUGUAACCUGAGUUUGUAAUUCUAACAAUCUGUAUGUUUAGAACACAAGUUCCUGAGGUCUAACGGACAUUCUUAGCUGCUAAAGACAGAGCCUUGAGGUUGUCUGUCCCUAUCUUGUGUACCCAUUGCUUGCUAAAUAACAGCCUCUGAUUUUGUCAGAUGUAACUAACCUCUGAAUACCUCUCUCUUAAUUUGGGAUGUAGAGAGGUGUUCACCUUCUGAUCCCUGCUCCAACUAUAGGAACAUUCUGUUUCAGAAACAUACACACACACGGAAGAGAUUAUAGGAUAGAGGGAGAACGAAUGUGAGACCCACCUGAGCAAGGUGAUAAAAAAAGACGUGAAAUAUUCUUAUGCCAGCCAAAAAGAGUUGUAACCAUACAUUGAGAAAUGAUGAUUUAAGGAUUUGAAAUACUUACUGCCUUAUUUCUAGGUGUUGAGAAGCAUCAGUAGUAUCUGCUUUUAAAAAAGCAAUAAGCUAUUGGAUGCCAAUAGAAAGAUUAAUUUUAUAUCUAAUUUGACUGUUAAAAAGAGGAAUUAUUACUCAUGUAGGAUAUUAUGCAAAGUAAAUAAUAUGAAUGAAUGUAUGAAUUUAGAAAUUCAUAUUUUAUUUAUUCAUCCUAGCUACAUAGUUAGAGAUUUUUUAUGGAGUUUGUACAUAGGCAUGGAACUACUAUUUCAUAUAGAACAUGGUUUUUCUUCUUUACUAGAUUUUGGUGGACCUCUCAUCCACCCCUUAAAUGUGUGUGUGAGCAUAUGCAUGCAUGAGCGCGCACACACACACACACAUCACCCUUUAAACAUUUUACUUGCAGUGUACUCUUAAGCUCCUAGGCAUGAAGGAAGCCUACUGAAAGUGACUUUUUUCUCCAGGUCACUGCUUAUGAUUACAGCUUAAAUGCAGAAUACAAUUCUGCCAUGUUUUCCCUCAUCUCAUCAAGCACAGCUUCUUCUCUUAUGUAAACAACAUCCAACUGUAAUGAUCAAGGUCAUUGGAACAUUUUCAUUGAAUGUAAGCAAAACUGAGUUCUUUAGAACACUUUGACCAAAGAUCAGAUGCUCAGAAUCAGUUUGGGAAAAGGAAUACUAUUGAAAAGUUACAGCUCUAUGGUGUCUAAUGAAAGGAAGAUCAAAAGAAAUCAUUACAGCUGGAUUAUGAACUUGGAGAAAGACGGUAUUAACACUUUCAGAGUUUUGAUAAUGGCAGGCUAAAGAUUGUUGAUUAGAAUUCAUUAUUCUAGUGUGUUACCAGUCUUAAAAGAGUUAGAUACUUUUUUAAAAAAAGGAGUCUUAAAAUAAUGAUGUUAAUUAAUCACUAAACUUAAACUGCACUCAAAAUUAUUUGGGGUUAAGAAAUGAAAUCUAACACGAGUGAAAGGAAGACAUGGGUUUUUCCCCCUCACUCCCUGGCUAUGCAGCUGGGGAUGGUCUUUGGUGAUGUUUCCACAGGUGAGGAAAACCAGGUGUUUUAUGCAUCCUCUCACAAAGAUGUUGCCAACAGAAGCUAUGAGUCAACCAAGUUCUGUCUGGGAAGCAGCUGCUGCUAUUUUCCUUUGGUUGUGGCUGAUCUCAAUUAAAAAGACUUUCAUGGUAGAAGGAAACUGUGGUCCCAGUUAUUCUGAUUAUCUUACAUAAGGAAGGCAAAGGUUUCUCCUCUGGACUCAAGGAAUAGACACAGGGACUGUAUAGCAAGUCACUUUCAUUUCAGACCACAGUCAUCUCGUCUGUGGAAAUAAGAUUGGGUUCCAGGCUCACUAAGGUCUCUCAGCUCCACCAUCCUAUAAUUCUAACUCUUGAAUUUUUCGCAACUAGACAGCAUUCUAACAAAUCAACAUCUUAUUUUCCUUUAUUUUAGAGCAAACUGUUGUUCACUGACAGAUUGCCAUGACUGACCACAGAGGCCCUGCAAUGGAAUGUUAAUACAGCUGUAGGAUUUUGUGUAUCUUUUGUAGGAUUGUAGAAAAAUAUGUUUGUGACUAGUCUAAUAUAUCUUUUGCUAAAAUAUUCUGAAACUAUCGGAGGGUUAGAUAAAUAACACGUAAAUAUUAACUUUGUUACAAGGUAAUAGCUUGUAAGUGUCCAAAGUGCCUUUAUAAGAGGUACUCUAUUUGAAUUUACCUCUGUUUGUAGACACAUACACACACAGACACAUAGACACACGUGAGCAUUUGAAGUUGUGCAGCAUUGAUAUAUAUUGUGAUAUCAAAAAAACAAAUUCAAUGAAUUCAGUCUUCUUCCCUGCUGUAUAAAGUCCUGUAGUCUGACAGAUCUCUUUGAUUUACAAAUCUAAAAAGAUCUGUCCUAGCUUAAGGGUUCCAAGUUAUUUUAGGAUAAAAUGUAAAACUCUUACCAUGAAAUACAGGCACCUCAAUACCCAACUUCUGAAUUUUCUAGGCUUUAAGUUGGCUACCAUUUCUCUCUCUGAUACAAUCUGUGCUCCAGCCAUUCUGACCUACUUUCAAAUUCUUGAAAUCUCUCCCCACCCACCACCACCCCAGUGUUAAGCCUUUAUAGUGUCUAUCUCCCUUGACAGAAAUGUGCUUCCCCUAACUCCACAUCCUUCUCUUCCUUCUGGUUACAGCUGAGUAAAUUUGACUUUGGGUGAAGGAGAUUAUAAUCAUUUCUUCAUAUCAGUUCUGCAUCUGACAACAGAGAAAGAGCCUAAGACUUUAAUUAAUGAAUUAUUUCAUAUUUAUUGAACAGCUGCUGCUACUGUGUAAAUAUUCCACAGGGGACAUACAUGGGAACAAGAUACAGACCCUUCUUUAAAAAACUAGAUAUGUGAAAUAUACAGACAUAAUGAUAAUGGAGAAUGACACAUGGGAAAUCCAAGAGCAACGGAGGUGAGAAUAGACGGUGACCACAUUCUAUUGAAUUUGGAAAACAACUUCUUUUAAUGUUAUUCUAUAUAAGAAUUUAUAAACUGCUUUGGUUCAAAGGACCUUCGUCCUUUGAAAGGCCCUGUCCAGUCUACUCUUGGGCAGUUGUCCAAGGAUCAAAUGAGUAGGUCUUAGACGCCCAAUUCCAGUUCAGUCAGAGCAGUUCUCCUCAUUUUCUGGAGCUUUAAAAAUGUUUGAAAGUCACGGGUCUCUUUUACCAGAUUAAUGGUGUAUUAUGGCAUUAAUAGGAAUUCUGAAGUUUAUUUAUACUUUCAAAGAAAUUGGGGGAUAGUAAAUGCAACGUCUCAAUUGAUAGCACCACGUGUUCCCCAAGUUGCUGAGGUGAAAUAGUGAUUUAGCAGUUUAGGGCCAUAUAUGAUAUUAAGGCAUCUCAGGAUAAUGCAUGCUUGACAAAUGCAUUCAUUGUUCUUUUUUCUUUGCUUCUGGUAGAAUUUCACAGAUGUAUUAUUUAUUUGAAAUUAUAGAAAUAACAUUUAUUAGAAAUUACUCUAAAGCAGCAUGAUCUUUGAGAAUGACUCAACACCCUGUAUUAAUUGCAAAUGUGUCAAUAUUUUGCAGUAGGAAUUCUGUUUUUUCAAUCAGGGGAAAGAGGCAUGGAGCUAAUAACUACAAAUACCUAAAAUACCCAUGGAAGAAAAAUGGCAUCUUAACCAAAGUACCUUUUUUUUUUUUUUUUAACCCGAGUAUGUUAUAGUACAUGGUUUAAGCUACUUGUAAUUUCUGUCUUAAUCCUGCUUUGUUUUGAGCUAAACUAAGCAUCCUUUCCUAGGAUUCAAGUGUUCACUGUAUGAGGUAAAUUAACUCUUACAGUCCUCUAGGGUACCAAUUAAUGCCCCAGAGGAGGUAAAUUACUAAAUGGUACCCCGCUGCUCUGAAAGACUGAAUUUGUCUCAAAUGUUUCACUUGCUCCCUGGUAGAAAGUAGAUUACUCCCAAUGGUUCUCUGUAAAACAGGAUCUAUUUUUAAAUGGGAAAUUAGAUUCCAUCUGAUCAGCAGGCUAAAGCUUCCCAAAUGUAUUAUACAGUAGUCAUGAUUGGAUUAUCAAAAGCUAUAAAUGCCUGUAAUGAAAGCUUGAGAGGCCAACAAGUAAAUAAAAGGACAUGGGAAAGAAUAUUUAGAAUAUUUAAAAUAUAUAAAGUUUUGUAAGCAUAGUGAGACCAAGGUAUUUGAGUUUUAUUAUUAGGGUAGUACCAUCUAUCAUUAUUAUUCAGAAGUGAUAUUAUUAUACAAAGAUGUUACCAACAGUAUAGAUCCUCUUCUUCAUGCAUUAAAAAAUAUAAGAUACAGAAACGAGAAGACUGUCACUCCAGCCCACGAAUUUGUAAUGUCGUUUGAAUUCACUGCUUUUGUAAGAUGCUCUUUCGAUGGGUCUGUUAGAAAGUUUUAUUUUAUAUUGAGGUAAAAAUUACUUUCCUAGAUCUUCAUUUGCUCAUUAUUACACAAAUAGUUUUAAGCGCCAGUAAGUGUGUGAUACU